GGGGAGAGGGCUUGCCCCAUGAUGCCACACACAAGACAACCCAGCUUCGAUCUUUUGAUACUCAUGUCCACCCCAGACUUCGCCAACAGUAUUUCAGCUUGGAACCUGGUCUCUGGUGGCUGCCCCAAGGCAUGCGGCUCGGCAGCGUGAGCCUGGAAUGUUGAAGAUGGUGAGGGGAAGGAUUUACAUGUUAAGUAUAAGGCAAGUGUCUGGAAACGACUCUGGAGUUGGGGUGAACAUCAAGCCAGAAACUCGGCAGAGAAUUGGAAAAUGGCCUGUUAGAGCAAGGAAAAAACAAGGAAGGCCAUCAUGGAGAUUCCUGAGCUCAUCGAAGUUCUUGCGCAGAGGAAAGUUCUACCCUCACUGAAUCCCCAAUUCCUGGUGAUGCAACAGUGAAACUUCUUGCCAAAACAGUGGAAAGCACCGGUAUUUCAUGGUGGUGCCGAGUUAUGUUUGUGUGUCUUAAGCAGUAUCACAGCAUAGGAAUCACUGGGCAGUUUGCCCAUGUUGACUCCCCCCAAACCUCCGCUCGCUUCCUGCCUCUGUGGUAUCAGUGUCUUAGAUAAAAUUUCCCCAACAGUUGCCCAAACACACUUUCACCGUAAUGGCACAGUGCUACUGGGUGGGGGGGGCCUGGAAAAAAUUAAUGCUUGGUUUUAUUUCCUGCUUUGGAUGCAAUGCUACUAAACUAACUGCGCCACAUCAACAAGCUGGGAUCCACUUGACCUCAGCUUGGAUUCUGACAUGUGUUUCAUCAACAACUAAUAAUUUGGCAACUCUUCAAGUGGCCUGUUCUGUGUAAUAUAACGCUAUUGUUUUGGAACCACUUAUUUCAUGUACAUGUUCAUACAGUGUAGGCCUACAAGUACAUGUAUGCAUGAGACUUUGAAUUGACAGCAAAUUUAUGCGGAGCAAGGGAACAACCAGGGAAAACACAAAAGAUAAAGACACCCACCAAAGCACAUUAAUGCAUUCUUGUACAUGUACAUGUGAUGUAAUUAGGCCUACAGUGUACAUGUAUGUACAUGAGCAAUGUGAUGGGGUAUUUUAUCCCCAUCCCAUUGAAGUGAAUCUAUUGAAACCUAAUUCACAAUAAAUAUUGUCUGAAGGCAAUCACACAUUAUUUAUUAGAAUAUGCGUACAUGGAAAGGGUACUGUGAUCCAGGUGGACCAAUCUAGGGAGUGUUGUGGAGUCAAUCCUUUUCCUUUACUGUCUUACCAACAGCUCUCCUCCCCAUCCAUGUAACCAAUACACGCACAUGUAAUGGAUACUGCAUGCGUAGGGAUACUCCACAGACACGGCAGCGCAUCAGAGUACUGCUGGUAUGUCCGAUUCCUUCUGCCCUGUUUUAACGGAACUGUUAUUCCCAAAUUAGAACUCUGGGUAUACAUGUAACAUACACAUACAUGUAUAGCCCCCAUCACUUGCAUCCUCCUUUUUAGCAAGUUGAUUAACUGAUGCAACUAAUUUGGCAUUGAGAUUGGGGUUUGGAGCUUGCAAAUGUGCAUGAAAUGUGGGUCUCAUGGCACUUUCUGGGGUGUUCUUUUGAUGUCACAGUCGUGUUUUCCAACAAGUGGCUGCUAAAACUACAGUUGGCCAUCAGUACAAAAGUAAAAGAAAAAUUCAUUAAGUGUUACAAAUUCCACACAGCUGUCACAGUGUCAGAACACUGGAUAAUGGUGUGAGUAAUACAACCCAAUUUAAAAUCAAAGGGACAAUUGUCAAUUUUGAAAGAACUGGAGGUAAAAUUCAAAACUAACCAAAAGGUGAUAUUUCGGAAAACUUUGGCCACCCAUACAAGUUAUAGGCAAAAGGAGAUUUUUCUUUAACCUUCAAAUGGACAUUGUAAGUGCAGGUUGCAAGCACUGUACAUACAUUUGUACAAAUGUAAGACAGAAGGUUAAUUUUAAGGGUGCACGGGCAUUUCAAUUUCCAAGCCUGGACCUGUGAUCUGAUAAUCCCUUAUACGUUUAUGUAAUGUACUAGUACAUCGCCAUAAAGUUCACCAAAUAACAAGUAGGAAAUACAAAGGGGUCCUUUGUUUGCCACACAACUGUGACAGGUCUGCCGACUUUGCUCUUGAUAUCUUCUGAGCAUUGCCCAUAUUAUAAAUCCUACAUUUCCUUUGAUUUUAGGGAUUUUAGGGCUCUAAUCUCAAGACCAUGGUUUCUCUAGAGAGAGAUCUACAGUGGAUGGGCUUUGGACUCACUCCACACACAUAUGUACUUUGUACUUUGGUCCACCAACAACCCCUUCUGUCAAGAAGUACUAGCCUAACAACAUAAACAUGUAGGUUUACUUAUACUAAGAGGCUGUCCUUUUUAUCUGAAGUGGGCAAUUGUGGUUUUCACCACAUCAGAAAAGAAACCAAAUACCUUACAUCUUGUAAUCUUUUUUUGUGGCAUGGAUUGUACCACUUGUGUGUGAAGUCAAGUACCAUUGUUAGCCUAAGCUCUGCCUUAAAUCCAGAGAUUUACUGAGAUUAGAGCAUUUAUCACUCCUGGCAAUCUCUAGGCAUACAUGUAUGGUAACGUGGCAGGAAAGGAAAGUGUUCCAUCUUUGCCUCUCUCUCUUUAACGAUGCAAUUCAUCUUUGGCUGCACUGCCAAAUCAAAUCAAAGAAGGAAGCACUUGCAUUUAAACUGAACAGAUGUGACCCAAAAUAAUUUCCUGUCACAUUCAUCCUUGGAAUUGAUGGAGUGUUUUGGGCUGUAUAUUUGCUUUGACAGAUGAAACUUCAGCUGAACAUGUUCUGUUUUAAUAGCUUGUCACUUUUAGUUUUUUAAAGGUUUUUAUUACAAUUCCUUUUAAAGGUGCAUGUAAAUUACCCUCCAAGAUACCAAAACUGCUUACUACUGGCAUAUUGUAAAUACUAUAAAUUUCACAUGCUUGAUGUUCCCCUUCCAAUGUAUGUAUUACAAAAAGAACAGCAAACGUCAGUACCUGUAUAGCACAGGUACACACACCUCCAAUAUAACUGGUACCGAGUACAACAUACCCAAGUGCAAUCAGAUCAAGACUUUUUAAUACAGGCAUACAUGUACAUUGAUGUAUGUCAAUCAGUCACAGAACAAGUCACAGAGCUACCAUUACAAACAGUACAGUACGUGUAUGAGUCCCGAGUUUUGUACACACCUAAAACAACUGCAGCUUUCAUUGGAGCAAACAUGAAACAUCUUGAUCUUGACACGAAACUUUUUACCGGGUAUACCAUUCUUGCUUUUUUCAUUCAAUCUAGAAACAAAAAGCCCCUGAAAUACCAAGCUUCAAAGAGAAGUUACACUUCCAGUUUGACCCCCUAUAGAUGAAUGGUGAACUUUUACACGUGCACAGGUACCGGUACAUGUACUGUAUAUGUACAAGCUUCUCUUGUAUUUUUAUAACUUACCACCAACACAUUUUCCUUGGGAAAAUCCUUUUUCUCUUCUUUUCUUUUCUCUUUUCCCCCAGCCUGAAUACGGAAGGGAUUUGCCAAGGAUUAAACAUGGAUUACCAAGUCUGACAAGGACACACUGGCCUAACAUUCCAAGAUAAUCUAAGAUCCGGGUACAUAGAUUACCAGUUCACCUUGCAUACUACAUGUACAUGUAAUUUACUGUACAUUUAAUUUACUCUGCUUGUUCAACAAGCAGAGUGCACUGUUCCAAGUUCCUUCUCUUUUUUAUACACAUAGUCCUGAUUUGAAUUGCUUAAGUCAGACCAUCAUUAUUGUGCUAACUACCACUCAAUGCAUGCAACCAGUUUACCUCAUCUGAUUGGUUGCCAGCAUUUUGUUUUGAGAUUUCUUGUUAGUGUGCUGUAAUGUUUUUUUUUUACUUUUUUAGCUUUUGCCACAUCUUCUGUCAAUAAUUUGGUUUGUAUUCCUUAGUAUCUCAAAAUCAUUUUAAACCUAGGGAUUCAAAGGAUAUGAAGAGUUGCAGACCAAUUCCAGAGCAUGUUUCCACAUCAGAUUGUCAGACUUUCAGAAGUUGGACUGCGAUGAGACUUGGGAUAAAGGAAAAUCUACAACAUAUCAAGUAGAUGGGGCUGCUAGUACACAUACAUGUAAAUGACAAACUUAAAUGGUAACGCUUUUCAGUGCUUUUCAGAGCUGACAAGGCAUGACUACAUACAUGUAAACAACAGUUUUAUUUUUAAGGGCAAAAAAUAGCCAAACCUGGAUGAUUUUUAACUCUAAAAAUUAGGAACAAUCCAGUUAACCCUCCUGAAAUCUUGAAAAAACAAGCCUGACAAAUUGUAGUUUUCAACCCUGGAAGAAAAAUAAUAGGCAUUCUAUUUGAAAAGUUUUAGUCUGUGAUUUAUUUGUUGAUUCUGAUGCAUUUUAUUCCCUGUAAAAAGUGGGCAUGCAACUU